rnacentral:rRNA from 1 species
UACGAAGGGGGCUAGCGUUGCUCGGAAUUACUGGGCGUAAAGCGCACGUAGGCGGUCUUUUAAGUCGGGGGUGAAAUCCUGGAGCUCAACUCCAGAACUGCCUUCGAUACUGGAACGACUCGAGUCCGGGAGAGGUGGAGUGGAACUGGACGAGUGUAGAGGUGAAAUUCGUAGAUAUUCGCAAGAACACCAAGUGGCGAAGGCGGACUCACUGGCCCGGUACUGACGCUGAGGUGCGAAAGCGAGGGGAG